rnacentral:rRNA from 1 species
CUUCUCCUACGGGAGCAGCAGUGGGGAAUAUUGCACAAUGGGGGGAACCCUGAUGCAGCGACGCCGCGUGGGUGAAGAAGUCAUUCGUGACGUAAAGCCCUAUCGGCAGGGAAGAAGAUGACGGUACCUGACCAAGAAGCCCCGGCUAACUACGUGCCAGCAGCCGCGGUAAUACGUAGGGGGCAAGCGUUAUCCGGAUUUACUGGGGGUAAAGGGGGCGCAGACGGCAAUGCAAGCCAGGAGUGAAAGCCCGGGGCCCAACCCCGGGACUGCUCUUGGAA